AUGCCAGAUUUAAUUUGGAUCGUUGGAUGCAUCUCCCACGUUUUAAUCUCAGCCAUGCGUUUGGAUUACUUGCUUUAAUGCCAGGUGUGACACGUUUGACUUGGACUCACCAUGGGCGCGCAUCUCACAUCCGUCUGAUCAGCCACGUCAAUUAAUGAGGCUUGAUCAGACGCUUGUGGUUUUUUUUAUUUUUCUAAUUUCUGUUUUAAUUUCUUUUAUUCCAUUCAUUUUCAAAAAUUCAUAUCUUCUUCAUUUUUAAUCCAAAAAACAUGGGACCAAUUGCAUUAUUUCUCUUUUUAAUUCUAGUUUCUAAAAAUGAUUUUU
rnacentral:lncRNA from 1 species